rnacentral:rRNA from 1 species
AUCUUGGACAAUGGGGGAAACCCGGAUCCAGCCAUCCCGCGUGUAUGAUGUAGGANUUNNGGUUGNANAGUACUUUUGUCAGANNNNNAAAGGAAUCACCAAAUACCAGAUACUGCGGACGAUCCCUCCAGAAUAAGCACCGGCUAACUACGUCCCAGCAGCCGCGGUAAUACGUAGGGUGCAAGCGUUAAUCGGAAUUACUGGGCGUAAAGCGUGUGUGGGAGGUUCGGAAAGAAAGAUGUGAAAUCCCAGGGCUCAACCUUGGAACUGCAUUUUUAACUGCCGAGCUAGAGUAUGUCAGAGGGGGGUAGAAUUCCACGUGUAGCAGUGAAAUGCGUAGAUAGGUGGAGGAAUACCGAUGGCGAAGGCAGCCCCCUGGGAUAAUACUGACGCUCAGACACGAAAGCGUGGGGAGCAAACA